AGCACAAACACGAACCAUUGUUUUCAAUCGAUGUAGUAAAACUCUCAACUGUACUCCGGGACAACCGGCACCACUCGGAGCGGCGCUCUGCAUGGCUCCUGUUUUCUUCCGGCAACAAGCAAAGCUCUCUCGAGAUGACGCAAGUGAAGGAUCCCGGUUUGUGUGUCCGGUGAAGGAGGAGAAAUAAACGGAUGGAGCUGCAGAUGGAGGCGGAGUGGGACUCACCUUCAGUCCGGAGGGGGGCUCACCGAUGACGGAAGGAGGAGGAUGCUUUUGGAGGUGACCUGUGUGAACUCGCGGUACACAAGUAUCCCAGCAUGCAUUUCACUUCAACCAGCAGCAGUGAUGGAGGACAUGAACCAAACUCACAUUUUGACCCAAUCGUGUUAACAGCUCUGGACGUUCAAGGUUCUUCUGCUUCAGCUCACAGGCUUAACUCAGAGUGAACAUUCUCAGCGUUGAUUGAACUGACUCUGGUCAGCUGAUCUGGAACCAAAACUCAGACAGGCAAAUUGUGAUUUGUGAUAUUGGGCUUUAUAAAUAAAAUUGAAUUGAAUUGAAUUGCUUUUGCUCAGAUUGUUUGCUUUCACUCAGAUAUUGCUGCUUUCAUGGAAUUCCUGCUCUCUAACUUGAGUCUUCCCCUCGCUCUCAAGCUCCCUUUGUGCACUUAUGAAUUGUCUGCUCUCAGAUCUGCACUCGGCUCCUGGAUUUUUUUGUGCAACGAUCCUGUGUAGUGUUAAGCAAUGAAGUGAUCCCUGCCUCAUUGUGGGCGUGUUCGCUCUACUUCUCAGAGCAGCCCGUACAGAUGGUUAAUCUUUGACCAGGUUCAUGCACUCCUGCACUCCAGGGCUUUAUUAAAUGCCCUUCAUUUGCUGUCUUUACAGCUUCUGGCAUAAAAUCAGUGUACUGGAGUAUAAAACAUCUCACUUAAUGCUACAGCGUGAUUACUCUUAAUUCAGAUACAUAUUUAGCUGCUCAUAAUUUCUCUGGGUUUGACUGCCCUGUUAGGACAUACACUGAUCAGCUACAACAUCAAAACCGCUGACAGAUGAAGUUAGUAACACUGAUCAUCUCAUUACAACGUAAUGUUCUGCUGGGAAACCUUUGGUCCUGGGGUUGGUUGUCCAAAACACCUUCAGGUAAGAUUUUCUUUAAAGUUCUAGUUAAGGAUUCCCUUAAAAUAAAGUCAGUUGCACAAAAACCCCUUAUGUCUUCUCCUUAAGGUUUCCUUAAAAUGCUCACUUAAGUAUUUUUUUGUUUUAACUUUGACUUGGCCUUAUACCUAAAGCAGGAUUUAUGCUAAAUGAGUUUUUCCUUAACAAAGGCAACCUUUUAAGGGAUUAUGUUCAACUGUAAAGUCUCUCAGCUAAGGAGAAAUGAAACCUUAAGUGUUAUACUUAAGGCGAAAACUUAAGGCAUUUUGUGUCUGACAUGCCCCACCCACCCAAACACUGUUGCAGACCUUGGUACCAAACACUGCAGGAUGAUGAUGCACAUAGGCUUCAUCUCUCCCGUUUGUCCUGAUUCACAUUUACAAAAAGCUUCAGACAUUUACACUGGAAACUGUGCAGUACAAAUACUUUAUUUUACUGGUAACAGUAGCAGGAGUAGAAGGUUCAGUGCCUUGCUCAAAGGCACAUGGACAGCACAGAUGAAAGGCACAUUCAACUUCUUACUAACAUGUUAACAUUUUGCAAAAAACUGUUGGAAAAAAGGGUGUACUUCUGAUCUGUAACAUUGACAGGAAGUGACCGCCAUGAG